GGUUGUAAUACUGAUGAUUGGCUGACCAGAUCUAGUCCAAGGAAUUAAAUCAGUAAAAUAUCAUGAGAAUCAAAUCAGUCAA